rnacentral:lncRNA from 1 species
UCAUAUGGUCAUUGUCACGAAUUUUAAGUUUAUUGGUGUCACUAGCUGGCAAAUAGUGUUGCACAAUGCAUGGCUUAAAGUGUUGACUUUUUCCAGGUAGCACGUACUAUGCCAAGCCUGUACCAAGAUUUCGCACUAGGUCAACAAUAAGCAACAAGCAAGCCACUUGGUAUCGCGAGUGGCAGUUCAGCAUACAUCAAUUGGUAUUGCUUAAUACUAUGUGGAAAGGGUUUUGUAGUACUUUUUCUGUUUCUUUUGAUUUUUCAGCAUACAAUGGCACAAAUGUGGGACAGGGCACAUGCCUUGCAGCAUUCAUAAAUCCUUG